rnacentral:lncRNA from 1 species
UUGUUGCCUAAUCUGAUAAAAAAAAUCUCAUUGUUAAAUCGUCAAGUUUUUUUGUUUCUUUAUCAGAUUAGUCUAUUCUUGACCUUAAACAAGUAUCAUGUAGUGCACCUACUCUUUAUGGAGACUAUGAUGAGAGGUGCUUAUUUUGAAGUUGGAGAAUUGCUUCAUGAUAAGGAGUAACUCGAUAUAUUACCAAGAUGAUUGAGGAGCCAUAAUAUAUACUAGUUUUAGUAGCAGAAGUCUGACAACCAAUGAUGAAGGCCCAAAUGACAAGAUCCUGGUUCAUGUGACCAUGUAGAGCACCUUCUUACCAAGUUUAUCUUUUUAUACUCAAGCAAACUUUUUCCAAGAAACACAUGAUUAAUGUAAACUGGAAACAGAUAGCCGUGGAAAGAAAGACAAGGUAAUGAUGGAAUAAAAUUGGUGAUUUGCUGGGUUCAAACUGUCUUAGGGUGUUAGAAAGUCAUAACGUAGUCUUUGAUAUUAACAGAGAAUUAAAUGCUUGACUGGGUUUAGAAUUUAACUUUUAGGCCUAUCUUUGCUGUGCACCUAUGAAUCCUCUAUUGAGCAGACCAAUGCUUAAUUAGUACUACAAACAUCAAGUUGAAAGGAAUAGCAGGAGCCUAGAUCAUGUAAGGGCAUCAUAUUCACUUUAUAAUUUUCUAUAGAACAUGAUGAAAUGUCUUUUAUACUGUAUCUGUAUUCUUCCUCUGGUUCAAAAUGGACUGAAGAAUACGUUAUUUAGUGUAUAUUGAAACAGAGAAGUUCAUGGAAUUUUCCAAAUUGUAUUUUGCAGUUGACAUCCUGUUCUUAUCAUUUCAGUGUAGCAACCCUCUUAGUACAACUAGAAAUUCAGAAUUAUGCAUAAAUUAGCACUAGAAAACCCUAUUUAGUUAAAACUAAGCAAAACAUUGUACUUGUCAUAUGGAAUAUUAUAUCUGUGCUUGAUUUUAUAAUAGAAGUGGUUGUUGUCCUUUUAUAUUAACUAAAAGAAGAGGGCCCAUUGCUUCUAGAGAGCUCAAAAUACAGUCAUUCUCCGUAAACCCCAUUACGAUUCUUGAGAGUUUCUCCUAGAAUAUGGAGUUUUUUGACUGCCUUCUUUGGCCUUGUUGAUUUUAUUAAUGUUGAGUUCCAAUGAUCAUAGAUCAGAGGGUACUUAUGGAUGAGGGGCUUGUUCCUCUAUGUUAGUUGCUUAAUCUUGUCAUCCAAAUUAUUAACAAAAAUAUGGUUGGGAGCAUGGUCUACUUAACCAUGCUGAACCGGCCGGUUCGGGGCUUAUCAAAUUGAAAUGGUCAGUUGCUGGCAUAGUUUAGGGAAAAGGAGUGAGGCGCGAGAGUGAGGGAGGGAGAGGGAGGGCUUGAAAGCCCUCUCAACUCGUUGACAGAGGGUUCCCUUGUUUUGUUUUGAAAUAGAGGAUGCCUCGUAAAUUUUUUUGAAUAUUUCAAACUAAAGUCAACAAACCAUUUGUCGACUUCCGUUCGAAAUAUUCAAAAAAGAUCGGGAUGUUUGACAAUAGCACAAUGCGGGAUCCAUACCAUACCGCACCAAUCGUUGACCAAUACGGAUCCUGGCAAACCUUGAUUGGGAGAAAGGGUGGCACCAUUGGCAUACAUGGAGUGGAACAUAGGUGGGGCAAUUUUUUAAAAGUGAUGAGAAGGACUAAGGAGGAUGGUGAAAGCACAAGAUUAUGAUUUACUUAGUUUAUUUUUAAUUAUUAUUAUGUGGGGGAGGUGGUGGCUGGUGGGACUUGCUAUGAUUUGAGCCAUGUUGACUCCUUUGCAAGCUUAUCUUCUCAUACUUUGUUGGCUGGUUGUCUUAUUGUCAGAUUGUGUUGGUUCUUCUUGAGCUGGAACUUAGAUUAUAUUUAGUUACAAAAUUUACCUCAAUCUAGCCAUCAAGGAGGGGGCAAUGGUGAUGACGGUGUCUAUUAGCUGAUCUGGCCUAGAGAACAUUCAAAAGCAAGAAACAGAGAUCAAGGCUUUUCCUAAUACUAAAAAUAUUCACCAAGAAAUGCACAAUGGUUUUGUAUACAUAAUCAGAAUGCAACUGAUGUAUUCAGACGUGCAUUUGUCAGAUUACUGAAUUUUUCACAAUGGUUAAAAUGGUGACCUGCGAGUAAGUAUGCAGCAAACCAAUUUGCACCUGAAACUUGCAAAUAUCAGCCUACCAAAAAACGUACACAUAUCCAGCACAUACUUUUGGUUUCUUUUGGAAUGUAACAACCAACUGUUGGUGGUUCCAUGCUAAACUAGUGACUCACCGUCCCCAAUUGCAACCCACCCUACCCCAUACUCCCAAGUAGAGGAAAGGGAAAGGGAGCCAAUUAUAUUAUAAUUCCAAUAGGAAGUAGGAUUUACUUGUCUUGAGGGAAAUUAUCUUUGGACAGGGGAUGUUUCUUGGUUUACCAUACCGCACCAAUCGUUGACCAAUACGGAUCCUGGCAAACCUUGAUGGGGAGAAAGGGUGGCACCAUUGGCAUACAUGGAGUGGAACAUAGGUGGGGCAAUUUUUUAAAAGUGAUGGGAAGGACUAAGGAGGAUGGUGAAAGCACAAGAUUAUGAUUUACCUACUUUAUUUUUAAUUAUUAUUAUGUGGGGGAGGUGCUGGCUGGUGGGACUUGCUAUGAUUUGAGCCAUGUUGACUCCUUCGCAAGCUUAUCUUCUCAUACUUUGUUGGCUGGUUGUCUUAUUGUCAGAUUGUGUUGGUUCUUGUUGAGCUGGAACUUAGAUUAUCUUUAGUUACAAAAUUUACCUCAAUCUAGCCAUCAAGGAGGGGGCAAUGGUGAUGAUGGUGUCUAUUAGCUGAUCUGGCCUAGAGAACAUUCAAAAGCAAGAAACAGAGAUCAAGACUUUUCUUAAUACUAAAAAUAUUCACCAAGAAAUGCACAAUGGUUUUGUAUACAUAAUCAGAAUGCAACUGAUGUAUUCAGACAUGCAUUUGUCAGAUUACAGAAUUUUUCACAAUGGUCAAAAUGGUGAUCUGCACGUAAGUAUGCAGCAAACCAAUUUGCACCUGAAACUUGCACAUAUCAGCCUACCAAAGAACUUACACAUGUCCAGCACAUGCUUUUGGUUUCUUUUGGAAUGUAACAACCAACUGUUGGUGGUUCCAUACUAAACUAGUGACUCACCAUCCCCAAUUGCAACCCACCCUGCCCCAUACUCCCAAGUAGAGGAAAGGGAAAGGGAGCCAAUUAUAUUAUAAUUCCAAUAGGAGGUAGGAUUUACUUGUCCUGAGGGAAAUUAUCUUUGGACAGGGUAUGUUUCUUGGUUGACCAAAACACGCCCCAGAUUUUAUUCCCCACUCUAUAUCUAAAUUAAGGGAUGCCAUGUAACUUACUCUUCGUUGGUUGUCCACCCACCCUGGCAAAACUCUUGCAGAUAAUGUUCAGUACAGCAUUGGCUUUUCUAGCCCUUGGCUGUAGGUUCCAAGCUUAGUGCCUGAGGUGCAUAAGAAUGUUUAUGAAUGUAGAGUAGCUUCAGUGCUUGAGCAGUGCUUUAUUAUACCUCUACCUGACACCAGAUACCUUAACCACUUAUCUACUGUCUCAUUCCUGGAUUGUCUUUUGGAGCAUUAGCCACCUGAGGUGAAAAUAAGGUGCUUUUUGUUCGAUGUUAUAUUAUUUUCUUUUAAUUAUAUAUAUAUAUAUAUAUAUAUUUCGACCAGUAUGACUGCAAAUAGAAAAAAAGGAAAUACAAUAGUUAUCAAAUUCUUUUGAUUUUAAGUACACCUACUUGUUUCUUCCCCCCCUUUUUUUUCUGUUUUUGUC